CCAAAUGCUCUCUCUCUGCCGCGCUCCAGUUCGGUAGCCCUCUCUCUACUUCUCCUUUCCACUGGAAUAUCUCCGAUAGCUCUCCCACUUCACCGACCUGAAAGCAUUAAUUGAAAUUCCAUCGUCAUCGUCAACAACAACAACAACAUUGCUAGGAGCAGGUUUCUAGGGCUGUGGUACUGCUCCCAUCCUCGAACUCGAGCGAACUCUGCGAGUCUGUCUCUGAGUUCUUGCAGUGAGACGUCUUUGGCGGUUUUUUCAGGUUCGUAAGAACGAUUCUCCAUAUCUCUCUCUGUGAUCUGUUUUUAUCUGCUUGUGGUUGUGAUCUCUGCGUUCAGUUGGGGUGUUAAUUUAUAGAAGUUAAGUUUAGGGAGAGAGAGGAUGAGAUAGAGACAGAGGGAAUUUGAUGAUGAUAGUGGGAUGUGCACUUGAGGUGUUUGAUAAAAAGAUAAAAUAGUAAUUAAGGCAUGUGAAGUGUGGGAAAGCCUGUCUCCAUCUUUCCAUUCAUCACUUCAAAGUUCAAAUCACCUCUUUGCUGCUGCACACCUCAUGCCAUGCCAUGUCUCUCACCACUUCUCUACACCACAGAAUUACAUCCCAUCUUUUUUCAAUCUCUUGAACUUGAAGUUUGUGUGACUUUUGGAUCUUCGAUCCCAGUUCGAUUAUGUGUAUGUCCUGUAUUAGUCGAGUUAACUUUAAGCUAUACGUAUGUAAUGUAACAAUGUAGGAUGAGAGAAUCGAACCUCAAACCUUGGGGUCGGUUGUACAGAUGGUUAGUUGAAUUAUGAUCAUUUUCGCAAGGUUAGAGGAUAUAUAUAGGAUUACUUUUAGUGGGCUAAAUAUGCCUUUUUGUAGUAGUACUCUUUACUCAAAAUUAACCUACUCCGGAAAGGAAAAAACCCAACUAGAUAUGUAAUUUCUUCUGUUGUUAUGCAACGACUCACAUGAUUAUCCAA